UGUCCCUACGGGGCGCAGCAGUGGGGGAUAUUGCACAAUGGGGGAACCCUGAUGCAGCGACGCCGCGUGGGUGAAGGAGCGUUUCGGCGCGUAAAGCCCUAUCGGCAGGGAAGAAGAUGACGGUACCUGACCAAGAAGCCCCGGCUAACUACGUGCCAGCAGCCGCGGUAAUACGUAGGGGGCAAGCGUUUUCCGGGUUUACUGGGUGUAAAGGGGGCGCAGACGGGAACGCAAGCCAGGAGUGCAAGCCUGGGGCC
rnacentral:rRNA from 1 species